rnacentral:lncRNA from 1 species
AGUCCAGACAGCCUGUCAGGAAGAGGCAGUCCUGAAUUUUGUCUUCCCAACUGAAAAGAAAUUCUGAGAACACGGUUGUCACAUCUUUACUCCUUUAGUUUAUGUUACAGAGGACAGUGUAGUGCUUGGUGUACAGGUGUUUAGUGCCUGGCUUUUAACCUGAAUCUGAGUUGGAGAAUAAAUUGAUUAUGUCUCCAUGGUUAGGACAGCAGUCAAUAACAUUUUUUAUGUGGGAGUUUGAACUUGGGGCUCCCUGUUAGCAUGUUGAAGCCGGUUUCUCCUACUUCUUCUAGGGUUUAGAUAAUAGGGCCGACGUCAAAAGUUGUGCUGUAUAUUUCUGCAGUCACUUGGAAAUUGUACCAGCUCAUUAAGAGCACGGCUCAUUAUUUAUUCGUUCAUCCAUCCAUUUGUUAAUGUGUUUGUUCAUUUUACUCUUUAACCAUUCAGCAAGUAUUGAUUGAGCAACUGAAAUGUCAUUCAUACCAUAUGAGUUGGCAUAUGAUAGCAUCCAAAUGAAAAUGUAUAUAAAGCAUUAUUAAUAUCAAUUAUGAAGGGGAGGGGAGAAGUGAGCAAAA